rfam:Gossypium hirsutum cultivar TM-1 chromosome 11, whole genome shotgun sequence
AUCCCAUGAUGGGGACACUUACGAAGUAGUUCCUUGAAUCUUUCCCAAGCGUCAUACAAAGACUCAUCAUCCAAUUGUUAAUAAGUUGUUAUCUCAUUAUGCAACU